rnacentral:rRNA from 1 species
CGGACUGCAGGCUGCAACUCGCCUGCACGAAGUUGGAAUUGCUAGUAAUCGUGGAUCAGCAUGCCACGGUGAAUACGUUCCCGGGUCUUGUACACACCGCCCGUCACACCAUGGGAGUCGAUAACGCCCGAAGUCAGUGACCCAACCGAAAGGAGGGAGCUGCCGAAGGCGGGAUGGAUAACUGGGGUGAAGUCGUAACAAGGUAGC